AUUGAACGCUGGCGGCAGGCCUAACACAUGCAAGUCGAGCGGAUGAGAGGAGCUUGCUCCUUGAUUUAGCGGCGGACGGGUGAGUAAUGCCUAGGAAUCUGCCUGGUAGUGGGGGAUAACGUUCCGAAAGGAACGCUAAUACCGCAUACGUCCUACGGGAGAAAGCAGGGGACCUUCGGGCCUUGCGCUAUCAGAUGAGCCUAGGUCGGAUUAGCUAGUUGGUGAGGUAAUGGCUCACCAAGGCGACGAUCCGUAACUGGUCUGAGAGGAUGAUCAGUCACACUGGAACUGAGACACGGUCCAGACUCCUACGGGAGGCAGCAGUGGGGAAUAUUGGACAAUGGGCGAAAGCCUGAUCCAGCCAUGCGGCGUGUGUGAAGAAGGUCUUCGGAUUGUAAAGCACUUUAAGUUGGGAGGAAGGGCAGUAAGCUAAUACCUUGCUGUUUUGACGUUACCGACAGAAUAAGCACCGGCUAACUUCGUG
rnacentral:rRNA from 1 species